rnacentral:rRNA from 1 species
GACGAACGCUGGCGGCGUGCUUAACAAAUGCAAGUCGAACGAAGUGGCGAACGGGUGAGUAACGCGUAAUCAACCUGCCCUUCAGAGGGGGACAACAGUUGGAAACGACUGCUAACACAGCAUACUGAAGGAGGGGAUGGCGAGUGAUUAGAUAGUUGGAGGGGUGACGGCCCACCAAGGCGAUGAUCAGUAGCCGUGCUGAGAGGAUGACCGUCCCCAUUGUGACUGAGACACGGCCCAGACCCCUACGGGUGGCAGCAGUUGGGAAUCUUCCGCAAUGGACGAAAGUCUGACUGAGCAACGCCGCGUGAGUGAUGACGGCCUUCGGGUUGUAAAGCUCUGUUAAUCGGGACGCGGUACCGGAAUAGAAAGCCACGGCUAACUACGUGCCAUCCGCCGCGGUAAUAC